CUCGGACAGCGAUUGAAGCAGAAAUCCUUUUUGCGGUGUGUUUAAGCAAAAAGCAAGCUCUGACCGGAGGGAAGAGCCUUGCCUGUGAAGACAAAUGCAGCAAAAAGAUUGGAGCGGAAAGCGCGGUGUUCA
rnacentral:sRNA from 20 species